rnacentral:rRNA from 1 species
GACGCUCAGGUUCGGAAGCGUGGGGAAGGAACCGGAUUAGAUUUCCUUGUAGUUCUCGCCGUUAACGAAGUCGAUUUAGAGGUUGUGAUCUUGGGGCGUGGCUUCUGGAACUAACGCGUUAAAUUAACCGCCUGGGGAGUGCGGUCCCAAGGCUAAAACUCAAAUGAAAUGACGGGGGGCCGCACCAGCGGAGGAGCAUGUGGUGUAAUUUGAUUCAACGCGAAGAACCUUACCUUCUCUUGUCAUCCAAUGAAUCCUUCAGAGAUAGAAUAGUGCCUUCGGGAACGGUGAGGCAGGUCAGGCAUGGCAGUCGUCAGCUCGUGUUGUGAAAUGUUGGGUUAAGUUCCGCAACGAGCCCAACCCUUAUCCUUUCUUUCCAGCACAUAAUGUUGGGAACUCAAAGGAGACUACCGGUGAUAAACCGGAGGAAGGUGGGGAUGACGUCAAGUCAUCAUGGCCCUUACGAGUAGGGCUACACACGUGAUACAAUGGCAGAUACAAAGAGAAGCGACCUCGCGAGAGCAAGCGGAGCUCAUAAAGUCUGUCGUAGUCCGGAUUGGAGUCURCAACUCGACUCCAUGAAGUCGGAAUCGCUAGUAAUCGUAGAUCAGAAUGCUACGGUGAAUACGUUACCGGGCCUUGUACACACCCCCCGUCACUCCAUGGGAGUGGGUUGCAAAAGAAGUAGGUAGCGUAACCUUCGGGAGGACGCUAACCACU